CUAGUAAUCGCAGAUCAGCAUGCUGCGGUGAAUACGUUCCCGGGCCUUGUACACACCGCCCGUCACACCAUGGGAGUCGGUAACACCCGAAGUCAGGAGCCUGACCUUUUUAGGAGGGCACUGCCGAAGGUGGGAUUGAUGACUGGGGUGAAGUCGUAACAAGGUAAC
rnacentral:rRNA from 1 species